GUCAAUUUUUCCGGGGAAUGUCGAAGACGUACUAUGUAGUUCAGAUGUAGAAAGUUCUACUUUUCUUUUAAAUGUUAAAGAAAGUUUCAUAAAAACAAAUUGUAUAGCGAAUGUUCAGUACAAUAGGAAGCGUUAUUUUGUUCAAGCAAAUGGAGCCGAGGCAUAAUAUUUAAAGGAAUGUUAUUCAAAGGUAAUAAGCUUCCACCACACUGCAGCUUAAAUACACGCGUAAUGAGGCAAAAUACCGCUUUCUUAAAUUAAUUACAUGAUACGUGAAUGUCCUGCUUUGUCUUCCAAUAAGAAAGCAAAUUCAGACAGCGGUUGCCUGGAUCAACACCCAGUACUGGGAUGCCUGGAACCUGUGUGACGAGGUGAUCGACUGGGGAGUCGGUGUGGAGGAGUGCUCACGAGCGACACCCCCACUGUCCAGGUUGGGGGGGAUAAGGAGGGAUUGGGAAGGGCUACUUGGGAAAAUGUGGAGGUAUCAGAAAGGGGCCUCCAAUGGUGAGAUGGAGGGGGCGGAGGCUGGUAUGAAUGUAAUGCAUAUGGUAAAUGGAGGUGAGGAGAAUGGAUGUGAGGUAGGAGUGAAUGUGGAGGAGGUUAAGGGAGAAGGAGAGAAAAGUAGAGGGAAUGCUUUGGGAUCUAUUGUGUCACAAGGAGGCAGAUCAUGGCUGGAAACCAUUCAGGAAGAAGGAUGUGAGGAAGAAGAAGAAACUGAGGUGGCGUUUCAGGAGGCACAAGACGCUGAAGUUGCCCAGUUGGACAGAUGGUGUCCAUGUGGCUGGUGUAAGGUGGGGUAGGAGGCUUCUGAACCAUGUGUUAGGCCUAGUGCACUUAUGGAUUGUGCUUGUUUGUUGUAAUGAAAUAAGCUUAUAAACUAAACAUAAUAUAUUUUAAAGGUACGUGUUUAUAUCAGUAUCUACAUGUAAAGGGAGCAGACACAGGAAAAAGGUAUUGAAGACCCUUGAUAUGAUAUUGCUGUUUUUGUUUUAGAUUCCAAAGUUAACCCUUUAUUUAAUUUAUCCCUUUUCCCCAAGUAGAAUAAUGCAUGUACUUGUAAUCUGUAUUAUUUUGCUUUGGAGUCGGAAGUUCCAAAAUCACCAGGCAAGUUAUUCGAUUGUAUGUGUUUUAACUACUAGAAAGAUGUAAAUGAGAAGCCUUAAGAUUUAUUUAAAAUUAAUUUAUUGUUUUUUUGUAAAUUAAAAACAGGAACCCUCAUGGACCAAGACUUGAGGGCAUUUGUACAAUCCACCUGUACAACUUUAACUGGUUCUGCAGCCUUUUUCUCCCCACAGCCUCUGCUUGUUCCCUUCUUCUCUUUCUGUCUUCCCUCCAGGAGAGCUCCUCAGGCAUCUCCAGCCUGUAAUUCCUGGGAAAUGCCACCUGCCACCCAUCCUUGGAAGCGUCGCCCAGUCUCAGGAUCUCAUACAUCACCAUUCAUCAGUCACAGCGCUUGCAGACAUCUGGAUAAAAGGAAAAGCCCAUUUUUUUUAAAACUUACACGUUAAAUUUUCCUCUAAUUACCAUUUUAUUCUUUUAAAUUUCAUUAUGUUUAUUUACAUUUAGUAUGGAUUAAGGCACAGUCAGCCUGGAUUAAGGCAUCCCCAGCCUGGCAUCAGACUCUCCGGACAAUGCCAGCCCAGAGGGGGCUGACCUGGAGGACAUUCCCCCGGAGGACAUGGAGUGGGAGCCUCCAGGUCUUGACCUGAGUCCCACUCCGUGGUGUCAGCCCCGUGGCCAAAGUUUCCCCAGCCGAGGAGGCUAUCGCCGCGACAACGGCAGGGUCAACGGAAAUCCAGUCGUGGGCUGAGGUCCAGGAGGAAAAAACGAGGUUAUGCUACCCAGACCUGCCUCCUGAUCCAAGCUUGGUCCAAGAUGGUCUUUCAGGUUAUCCCAUUCAAUGAUUCCCAAAAGGAACCACCUCCGGUCUCCUCAUGGCGCUGGUACUGGCCUGUGUUUUUGUUUUGCAGGGUCCCUGGUUUGGUCCAGUUCCUGUCCUGCCUGCCCCUCGACACCCUCCGACUCUGCCAACCCCUCGCCGUCUACCGAUGCUGUUCUUCCCUCGGCUGCCGCAGACGAGUAGAGCUUCUACAGACCCAGACAGGAUUCCAAAGGCCCCCCUGGCCGUGACCCUUCUGCGGCACCCCGGAGCCCAUCAGAGGCCCUGAACUGUUCACUUUACCUCCCAUGCUACCUAGUGUCUUGCCCCUCCUAAUACCUCAGUCUUUGGUCUGUAGUCUUGCUUCCCCGUGGCUCUCCCUGGUUUCACCUCUUAGCCUGAUUUCACUGUUCCAGCCCCCACUCCAGUCACUCUUGCUUCCCGCUUUAGGUUCCCCUCUCCUGGCCAUAUUAUUGUUGCACUGGUUCCAUUGCUUGCCUGUCUUGUCUGGUUGUGUCCUGCCUUGUCUGUCCCUGUGCCAUCUUUGGUCCUUUUGAUGCCCAAUCCCUCCCUUUUGUCUCCUUCUACUGUGUCCUUUGUUCCCACUUACCCACUGACACCCACUGUCUGUCUUUUGGUCCAUAGUCAGCAUCCCUGUUGGAUUACCUGGCCUGUCAUGAGUUGUGUCCUGGGGGUUAGUCUCCCCUGUUGUCCUUGGUUUUGCCCUGGUCUGUGUGUCCCCUUAAUGAUGCCCUUGUACCCGGAGGGCACAGGAUUGGGAGGGGGGCGUUUACUGUCAUGUCUUGCCCAUUUAGUCAACCUUCCUCCCCUUCUGUCAGUCACUAUCAGCUUCCUUGUGUUUUCCCAUUCCUUAGUCUGGUAAAGUGCCCAGUCUUAUCUUCUCCAGUUGUGUCCUUGUCUGUUUGCGUCUCUGUGCCCAAACCUGCCUGUCAAUAAAACUCCCCACGAAGGGGAUUCUGCCCUACA